UACGGAGGUGGCAAGCGUUGUUCGGAAUUACUGGGCGUAAAGUGUGCGCAGGCGGCUCCGCAAGUCGAGUGUGAAAUCCCCGAGCUUAACUUGGGAAUUGCGCUCGAAACUACGGAGCUGGAGUGUGGCAGAGGAAGGUGGAAUUCCACGUGUAGCGGUGAAAUGCGUAGAUAUGUGGAGGAACACCGAUGGCGAAGGCAGCCUUCUGGGCCAACACUGACGCUCAUGCACGAAAGCGUGGGGAGCAAACAGG
rnacentral:rRNA from 1 species